rnacentral:rRNA from 1 species
CCUACGGGAGGCAGCAGUGAGGAAUAUUGGUCAAUGGUCGGGAGACUGAACCAGCCAAGCCGCGUGAGGGAGGAAGGUACAGAGUAUCGUAAACCUCUUUUGUCAGGGAACAAAGGCGGGGACGUGUCCCCGGAUGAGUGUACCUGAAGAAAAAGCAUCGGCUAACUCCGUGCCAGCAGCCGCGGUAAUACGGAGGAUGCGAGCGUUAUCCGGAUUUAUUGGGUUUAAAGGGUGCGCAGGCGGUGUGUAAAGUCAGCGGUAAAAGCCCGGGGCUCAACCCCGGCCCGCCGUUGAAACUGGCAGUCUCGAGUUGGAGAGAAGUAUGCGGAAUGCGUGGUGUAGCGGUGAAAUGCAUAGAUAUCGCGCAGAACUCCGAUUGCGAAGGCAGCAUGCCGGCUCCACACUGACGCUGAGGCACGAAAGCGUGGGUAUCGAACAGGAUUAGAUACCCCAGUAGUC